UCAAAAUUUAUCAGAACUCCUAAAUCAUGGUGUAAAAUCGAUUUCUUUUUCCGGAAAACUUCAUGUUAUGGUAGUUACCAUUAGUUUUGGCAUGAAUUCCGCAAGUUUAUCAAAACAACAUCCUUCAGUAAUUUCCCUUGAAAUUUCUUUAGCUCCACCAGUGAUUUUUCUUUUAUAAAAUACCACGAAUUCCUCCCGAAACUUUGAGACCUCCACAAGGAAUACCUCCCGGAUCUUCAAAAGCAAUUCCUCCAGAAACUUCACCGGCAAUUCCUCCAAGAACUAUAAUAGGAAAUCCUCCAGCAACUUCACCAGGAAUUAAGGACCAGAAACUCCAUUAUAAACUCAUCCAGAAACAUCAGAAGGAAAUCCCCCCAGAAUCUCCACCAGGAAUUUCUUCAACAAUUUCUCCAGGAACUUCAACAAAAAUGCCUCCAAAAACUCCACAAACAAUUGAACCAGGAUCUUUACAAGGUUUAAUCCAGCAUUCCCACCAGGAAGCAGUUCCAUCAGCAAUUUCUUCAGGAUUUUCAUCAGCAAUUCCUGCGACAGCUUCAACAGCAAUUUCUACAGGAACUCCACCAGAACACCAGGAAUUUCUCCGGCAACUCAACAAGCAGUUCUUCCAGCAGCUGCACCAGCAAUUUCCUCUGGAACUCUACCAGGACUUUAUCCAGCAGCUUA